rnacentral:rRNA from 1 species
UACAGAGGGGGCAAGCGUUGUCCGGAAUUACUGGGCGUACAGCGCGCGCAGGCGGUUGCCGACGUGCCGUGUGACAAACGGGGGCUCAACCCCCGAGGGCCACGGUAAACGGGGCGACUGGAGGAAAGGAGAGGGAUGUGGAAUGCCCGGUGGAGCGGUGAAAUGCGUAGAGAUCGGGCGGAACACCAGCGGCGAAGGCGGCAUCCUGGCCCUUACCUGACGCUGAGGCGCGAGAGCGUGGGGAGCAAACCGG